rnacentral:rRNA from 1 species
UGGCGGUGCGCCUUAUGCAUGCAAGUCGAGCGAAGCUUUUCAGUAGUUUACUACAGAAAAUGACUGAGCGGCGAACGGGUGAGUAACGCGUGAGCAAUCUACCUUAGUUACAGGGAUAGCCCGAGGAAACUCGGAUUAAUACCUGAUAUUCUUUAUAUUUCGCAUGAAAUUAAAAGGAAAGGUCAGCCGAACUAAGAUGAGCUCGCGUUCUAUCAGCUAGUUGGUGAGGUAAAAGCUCACCAAGGCUACGACGGAUAGCUGGUCUGAGAGGACGAUCAGCCACACUGGGACUGAGACACGGCCCAGACUCCUACGGGAGGCUGCAGCAGGGAAUAUUGCGCAAUGAGCGAAAGCUUGACGCAGCGACACCGCGUGUGGGAUGACGGAUCUAGGUUUGUAAACCACUUUCAGGAGGGAAGAAAAUGACGGUACCUCCACAAGAAGCCCCGGCCAACUACGUGCCAGCAGCCGCGGUAAUACGUAGGGGGCGAGCGUUGUCCGGAUUUAUUGGGCGUAAAGAGCUCGUAGGCGGUUCAACAAGUCGGUCGUGAAAGUUCAGGGCUCAACCCUGAAAUGUCGAUCGAUACUGUUGUGACUAGGAUACGGUAGAGGUGAGUGGAAUUCCGAGUGUAACGGUGAAAUGCGUAGAUAUUCGGAGGAACACCAAUUGCGAAGGCAGCUCACU